CUUAUGGACUGAUUAUUUUAAGAAAUGUCGUCAAGACAACCAGCAACAAGAACUGGAUGCUGGACAACUUCAAAUUGGCAUUCGAAAAAGUCAUCAGAUAAAACGUGAAAUGAAUCGAUUGAUUGAUGGGUAUACAGGGAGCCUGCAAAAGGAAGCUGUUGAUGGUAAAAAAAAAAAACUCUCAAACUUGAAAGAUAAAGUGCAAGGAUUGAUUACUAAAAGUGAAGUACCUUUAUGGCAGAAAGCCAAAAGCUGGACGAUCAAGGAGCAAAAGCAGUCAUGUAUGACUUGUGAGGAAAAUUUCAACCGUCACCUUGCCAACCAGAAGCACAACUGCCG